rnacentral:tRNA from 1 species
GCCUGGGUGGCUCAGUCGGUUAAGUGUCCGACUUCGGCUCAGGUUCGUGGUUCGUGGGUUCAAGCCCCACAUCGGGCU